rnacentral:piRNA from 1 species
GAUUGAGCACUGGACUUAGGAGGC